CCCGGGCCUUGUACACACCGCCCGUCACACCACGAAAGUUGGCAACACCCGAAGCCAGUGGCCCAACCCUUUUGGGAGGGAGCUGUCGAAGGUGGGGCGAGCGAUUGGGGUG
rnacentral:rRNA from 1 species